rnacentral:rRNA from 1 species
AGAGUUUGAUCAUGGCUCAGAUUGAACGCUGGCGGAAUGCUUUACACAUGCAAGUCGAGCGGCAGCGCGGGGCAACCUGGCGGCGAGCGGCGAACGGGUGAGUAACACAUCGGAACGUAUCCAGUCGUGGGGGAUAGCCCGGCGAAAGCCGGAUUAAUACCGCAUACGACCUGAGGGUGAAAGUGGGGGCUCGCAAGACCUCACGCGAAUGGAGCGGCCGAUGUCCGAUUAGCUAGUUGGUGAGGUAAAGGCUCACCAAGGCGACGAUCGGUAGCUGGUCUGAGAGGAUGAUCAGCCACACUGGGACUGAGACACGGCCCAGACUCCUACGGGAGGCAGCAGUGGGGAAUUUUGGACAAUGGGGGAAACCCUGAUCCAGCCAUUCCGCGUGAGUGAAGAAGGCCUUCGGGUUGUAAAGCUCUUUCGGCAGGAACGAAACGGUUACGGAUAAUACCCGUGACUACUGACGGUACCUGAAGAAGAAGCACCGGCUAACUACGUGCCAGCAGCCGCGGUAAUACGUAGGGUGCGAGCGUUAAUCGGAAUUACUGGGCGUAAAGCGUGCGCAGGCGGUUAUGCAAGCCAGACGUGAAAGCCCCGGGCUUAACCUGGGAAUGGCGUUUGGGACUGCAUGGCUAGAGUACGUCAGAGGGGGGUGGAAUUCCACGUAGCAGUGAAAUGCGUAGAGAUGUGGAGGAACACCGAUGGCGAAGGCAGCCCCCUGGGAUGAUACUGACGCUCAGGCACGAAAGCGUGGGGAGCAAACAGGAUUAGAUACCCUAGUAGUCC